GCAGAGCAUCCUACGGGAGGCAGCAGUGGGGAAUAUUGCACAAUGGGCGCAAGCCUGAUGCAGCCAUGCCGCGUGUAUGAAGAAGGCCUUCGGGUUGUAAAGUACUUUCAGCAGUGAGGAAGGUGGGUAUGUUAAUAGCAUAUUCAUUUGACGUUAGCUGCAGAAGAAGCACCGGCUAACUCCGUGCCAGCAGCCGCGGUAAUACGGAGGGUGCGAGCGUUAAUCGGAAUUACUGGGCGUAAAGCGCAUGCAGGUGGUUUGUUAAGUCAGAUGUGAAAGCCCGGGGCUCAACCUCGGAAUUGCAUUUGAAACUGGCAAACUAGAGUACUGUAGAGGGGGUAGAAUUUCAGGUGUAGCGGUGAAAUGCGUAGAGAUCUGAAGGAAUACCGGUGGCGAAGGCGGCCCCCUGGACAGAUACUGACACUCAGAUGCGAAAGCGUGGGGAGCAAACAGGAUUAGAUAGCCUGGUAG
rnacentral:rRNA from 1 species